rnacentral:rRNA from 1 species
CCUUCGGGUUGUAAACCGCUUUUGGCAGGAACGAAACAGUACGAGCUAAUACUUCGUACGAAUGACGGUACCUGCAGAAUAAGCACCGGCUAACUACGUGC